rnacentral:rRNA from 1 species
GGGAUUGAAACGCGUGGAUAACCUGCCUUAAUGACCGGGAUAACACCGGGAAACUGGUGCUAAUACCGGAUACGCUCACUGCGGCACAUGCUGUGGUGAGGAAAGGAGCAAUCCGCAUUAAGAUGGGUCCGCGUCCCAUUAGCUAGUUGGAGGUGUAAGGGACCCCCAAGGCGACGAUGGGUAGCCGGCCUGAGAGGGUGGACGGCCACACUGGAACUGAGACACGGUCCAGACUCCUACGGGAGGCAGCAGUGGGGAAUCUUCCGCAAUGGGCGAAAGCCUGACGGAGCAACGCCGCGUGAAUGAAGAAGGCCUUCGGGUUGUAAAAUUCUGUCUUCAGGGAAGAAGAAAGUGACGGUACCUGAGGAGGAAGCCCCGGCUAACUACGUGCCAGCAGCCGCGGUAAAACGUAGGGGGCGAGCGUUGUCCGGAAUUACUGGGCGUAAAGGGCGCGUAGGCGGUUUCUUAAGUCUCAAGGUGAAAACUAUCGGCUUAACCGGUAGCCUGCCUGAGAAACUGAGGGACUUGAGGGCAGGAGAGGGGAGUGGAAUUCCCAGUGUAGCGGUGAAAUGCGUAGAUAUUGGGAGAAACACCGGUGGCGAAGGCGGCUCUCUGGCCUGUUACUGACGCUGAGGCGCGAAAGCGUGGGGAGCGAACGGGAUUAGAUACCCCGGUAGUCCACGCCGUAAACGAUGGGUGCUAGGUGUAGGAGGUAUCGACCCCUUCUGUGCCGUAGUUAACACAAUAAGCACCCCGCCUGGGGAGUACGGCCGCAAGGUUGAAACUCAAAGGAAUUGACGGGGGCCCGCACAAGCGGUGGAGCAUGUGGUUUAAUUCGACGCAACGCGAAGAACCUUACCAGGGUUUGACAUCC